rnacentral:rRNA from 1 species
AGAGUUUGAUCCUGGCUCAGAGUGAACGCUGGCGGUAGGCCUAACACAUGCAAGUCGAACGGCAGCACAGGAGAGCUUGCUCUCUGGGUGGCGAGUGGCGGACGGGUGAGGAAUACAUCGGAAUCUACUCUGUCGUGGGGGAUAACGUAGGGAAACUUACGCUAAUACCGCAUACGACCUACGGGUGAAAGCAGGGGACCUUCGGGCCUUGCGCGAUUGAAUGAGCCGAUGUCGGAUUAGCUAGUUGGCGGGGUAAAGGCCCACCAAGGCGACGAUCCGUAGCUGGUCUGAGAGGAUGAUCAGCCACACUGGAACUGAGACACGGUCCAGACUCCUACGGGAGGCAGCAGUGGGGAAUAUUGGACAAUGGGCGCAAGCCUGAUCCAGCCAUACCGCGUGGGUGAAGAAGGCCUUCGGGUUGUAAAGCCCUUUUGUUGGGAAAGAAAUCCAGCUGGCUAAUACCCGGUUGGGAUGACGGUACCCAAAGAAUAAGCACCGGCUAACUUCGUGCCAGCAGCCGCGGUAAUACGAAGGGUGCAGCGUUACUCGGAAUUACUGGGCGUAAAGCGUGCG